ensembl:lncRNA
CUUCAUUAGCCCUCUUUCGGAACAUUUAUUAUAUUUAAUUAAUAAAAAAGUCCCAUCACUGACCAGCAGGGCUCCCUGACUGGCUUCCCGCUGAUCUGGCACCAGCCGGGCCAAUCAGAGAGAGCCGCCAUGGGUCCGUCAAAUAUAGUCCAUGAGCACGUGUGGCGUGGUGGACAGAACCCUCUGGCUUGUCUUGGGAGACCAACAGCACCUGGUCCAGACAUGGAGAGUCGGAGGGUGUCAUAGCAGUGGGGAGUGGGCAGAAGAGACAACUUAACUUAGAGCUCGCUCAGGCAGAGAGGCAGAGGGAGACAUAGACUGACACACACACACACAGAGACAGACUGACAGUACUGACGGUGAGAGAGAGAGACGGACAGACGGAAACGGAGCGAGACAGCGGUAGAGGAAGAGGAGCAGGACCUCAGCUUGUGGGUUAUCGGCUACAGUGUAAGAAGGACGCCCCGCUGAGCUGCAGGACUGACUGAUAGAGCCUCCAAGGGUUCAGAGAGCACAUUGAACCAGAGCAAUAUGGAGGUCAGAGUUCACCGAACACGAGCAGCAACGUUUUACUCCAUUUGUCAACUAUUUGCAGUUCUCUGCGGACCUUUACUUCAUGUCCAGGGUCAAGGGGCCCAUUAAUAAGAGCCUGAUCCGGGCCCCACUGACAGGCCUGCUGACAGAGGAGGAUCAUGGGGGAAGAGCCCUGCCCUGCCGGGGGAGAGAGGGACACACAGGUUUCUCUGUGUUGUCCCCUCUCUGCACUUGAUUCAUGGUGGAGCUCCUUAUGCAGAGAACGCCAUGUCCGGGCCCUGUCUUGAGCUAUGAUGUCCUAAACGAAAACCUUCCUCCCCCUCUGGUGUGAUGGCACUGCUGCCUCACACAGACAGGCUGGGGGGAGUCCUGCCCUGUAGAUACACUGUGGACUCUCUGUCUCUGUCUCUCCAGGUCUUUCAUUCUCGCUCCCUCUCAUUUGCCUUCUCAAUGUGUCUCUCUCUCUCCCGAUUCAGUUCUCUUAAAUGGCCAGAUUUUGUAUGGCAUUGCUUAAGAAGUUAAACAAUGAAAUAAGGUAAAAUAACAAUAAUAGUACUACUCCCUCUCUCCCUCUCUCUGUGUCUCUCUGUCUACCACUCUCUGUCUCUCACUCUCUCUGUUUUUGUCUCUGUCUCUCUCUGUCCCUGUCUGUGUCUAUCUCUGUCUCUAUCCAUCUCUCUGUAUCUCCGGACCCCCUGUUGGCCACAGCAUGCCUCUAUACGGUGAAGCAGACGUGAGUCUCACUGGUAAAUGACGGCGGAGUAUGAAACAACAUCCUCUGUCAUUAGCAGCAGCAAUUAAGGGACAUGCUAAUGAAGGGUGUGUGGCACUUCACGUUUGAAACACCAUGGAUUGUUAUUUUCUUGCUAACUGUAUCCUGCUCUUGAUCAUUAUGUUAUCCAUUAAAGUGUCCUCUGGUGUUUUGAUUAAAACGAACAAAAG